rnacentral:rRNA from 1 species
UACGGAGGGGGCUAGCGUUGUUCGGAAUUACUGGGCGUAAAGCGCACGUAGGCGGCCUGUUGCGUCCGCUGUGAAAUCCCGGGGCUCAACCCCGGGCCUGCAGUGGAUACGGGCUGGCUAGAGGCAGGCAGGGGAGAACGGAAUUCCUGGUGUAGCGGUGAAAUGCGCAGAUAUCAGGAGGAACACCGGUGGCGAAGGCGGUUCUCUGGGCCUGUACUGACGCUGAGGAGCGAAAGCGUGGGGAGCGAACAGG